UAGAUCCUAUUAUCUUUGCUUUAGUCAUCAGAAUUUUUGGAGCAACUCGAACAAGGUAAAGAAUAUAAUGUUUUAGUUGGGAAGUACUCUCUCAAGUCUCAACACUUAACGGUGCCUGCAAAACUCUCAAGUCUCUUCUCAAGACCAGAAACCAAGAUGACUAAAGCAAAGAUAAUAGGAUCUAAUUCAUCCUCCUAAUAAGCUCAUUGAUGUAAUCCUCACGGUUUCCAGCAUCACCACCCUCCACAUAAUG
rnacentral:misc_RNA from 1 species